rnacentral:lncRNA from 1 species
AGGCUCUCCUCAGUACAUGGAGGAGGCUCUCCUCAGUACACGGAGGAGGUUCUCAGUACAUGGAGGAGGCUCUCAGUACACGGAAGAGGCUCUCCUCAGUACACGGAGGAGGUUCUCAGUACAUGGAGGAGGUUCUCAGUACAUGGAGGAGGUUCUCAGUACACGGAGGAGGUUCUCAGUACAUGGAGGAGGCUCUCCUCAGUACAUGGAGGAGGCUCUCAGUACAUGGAGGAGGUUCUCAGUACAUGGAGGAGGUUCUCCUCAGUACAUGGAGGAGGCUCUCAGUACAUGGAGGAGGCUCUCCUCAGUACAUGGAGGAGGUUCUGGUUCUUCAUGUCCCUCCUGCUGUCACUGUGGAUGCGGCUUCACAGCCUCCUCAGGCUCCUGCCUUUCAGGCCUUCCUCUUUCAUCAUCACUCCCUGCUCUCCUGUCUGUUCUUACUUUGAUAUUUUGGGUUUUGGCUUUUUUUGCCAUCAGCUUUUUCUUAAAGAACC